rnacentral:rRNA from 1 species
ACAUCCAAGGAAGGCAGCAGGCGCGCAAAUUACCCAAUCCCGACACGGGGAGGUAGUGACAAUAAAUACUGAUACAGGGCUCUUUUGGGUCUUGUAAUUGGAAUGAGUACAAUUUAAAUCCCUUAACGAGGAACAAUUGGAGGGCAAGUCUGGUGCCAGCAGCCGCGGUAAUUCCAGCUCCAAUAGCGUAUAUUAAAGUUGUUGCAGUUAAAAAGCUCGUAGUUGAACCUUGGGCCUGGCUGGCCGGUCCGCCUCACCGCGUGUACUGGUCCGGCCGGGCCUUUCCUUCUGGGGAACCUCAUGCCCUUCACUGGGCGUGUUGGGGAACCAGGACUUUUACUUUGAAAAAAUUAGAGUGUUCAAAGCAGGCCUUUGCUCGAAUACAUUAGCAUGGAAUAAUAGAAUAGGACGUGUGGUUCUAUUUUGUUGGUUUCUAGGACGCCGUAAUGAUUAAUAGGGAUAGUCGGGGGCAUCAGUAUUCAAUCGUCAGAGGUGAAAUUCUUGGAUUGAUUGAAGACUAACUACUGCGAAAGCAUUUGCCAAGGAUGUUUUCAUUAAUCAGUGAACGAAAGUUAGGGGAUCGAAGACGAUCAGAUACCGUCGUAGUCUUAACCAUAAACUAUGCCGACUAGGGAUCGGACGGUGUUAGUAUUUUGACCCGUUCGGCACCUUACGAGAAAUCAAAGUU